ACUCCUACGGGAGGCAGCAGUGGGGAAUAUUGGACAAUGGGCGCAAGCCUGAUCCAGCCAUGCCGCGUGAGUGAUGAAGGCCCUAGGGUUGUAAAGCUCUUUCACCGGUGAAGAUAAUGACGGUAACCGGAGAAGAAGCCCCGGCUAACUUCGUGCCAGCAGCCGCGGUAAUACGAAGGGGGCUAGCGUUGUUCGGAUUUACUGGGCGUAAAGCGCACGUAGGCGGACUAUUAAGUCAGGGGUGAAAUCCCGGGGCUCAACCCCGGAACUGCCUUUGAUACUGGUAGUCUUGAGUUCGGGAGAGGUGAGUGGAAUUCCGAGUGUAGAGGUGAAAUUCGUAGAUAUUCGGAGGAACACCAGUGGCGAAGGCGGCUCACUGGCUCGAUACUGACGCUGAGGUGCGAAAGCGUGGGGAGCAAACAGGAUUAGAAACCCCUGUAGUCCCA
rnacentral:rRNA from 1 species